rnacentral:snRNA from 1 species
AAGCACCUAGAGACUUGGGUUAAA